UGAUGAGUGGCCUCUGUGAUGGUGCCAUCUAUGGUGGGUACAACUGCGGUGGCAGUGCUAGUGCUAGUGGCUGUGGUAUUGGCUGCUUGAAUUCUCUCCAUUAAUCUCGGCAUCCAUAGGUAUCGCAUGGUGUCUUUGAAUUGCUUGCUAUUCACGUCACAUUUAAGCUGCUUAGCGUGCUUUUGGACACGGGUUCUCCAGUAGUUCUUGAUUUCAUUGUCGGUUCUUCCUGGCAAGUGUUGCGCGAUCUUGGACCAUCGAUUGCCCCAUCGUGAAUGAAGCUCGAGGAUCAUGAGUUGUUCUUCGAGGGUGAUAUUACCACGUCGAACGUCAGGUCUUAAGUAGUUGAGCCAUCUUAAUCUGCAGCUCUUUCCGGUUCGUUUAAGGCCUGCGCAGCGAGCGAGGGAGUUCCAGCGACCCUCUCCGUAAGCAGCAAUGUAAUUGAUGAGCUUGAAGUCUUCUUCAGCAGUCCAAGGACCUCUUCUUAAGUCACCCAUCUCCUCUUCACUUUGUGUGGUGGAGGAGGAGGAAGAGGAGGAGCUAUUCUUGUGGUUGCUGUUUCUGCCUUUAACAUCCAUCAUUCCAAAUUCCUCUAAAUGGAGAGACUGAUUGAUUGAAGGAGGAAAAUAGGAAAAGGAGAGAAAAAUU
rnacentral:misc_RNA from 1 species